rnacentral:rRNA from 1 species
CAUCUCAGUACCCGGAGGAAAAGAAAUCAAAAGAGAUUCCCUGAGUAGUGGUGAGCGAAAGGGGAGUAGCCCAAACCUCGAAUUUUAUUCGGGGGGUUGUAGGACUACCAAGAAAGGUCAGGAUACUGUCUUAGAGGAAUAGGCUGGGAAGUCUAACCGUAGAGGGUGAAAGUCCCGUACUCGAAAAGGCGGAACUGACUGAGGUAGAUCCUGAGUACCAUGGGACCCGAGGAAUCCUGUGGGAAGCAGGGGGGACCACCCUCCAAGGCUAAAUAUCUGGUUACACCGAUAGCGGAUAGUACCGUGAGGGAAAGGUGAAAAGAACCCCGGGAGGGGAGUGAAAUAGAAUCUGAAAUCCUGUGCCUACAAGGGAGUGGGAGUCUCAACAUAGUUGGGAUGACCGCGUACCUAUUGACGAAUGGGCCAACGAGUUAACCGGUAGGGCAAGGCUAAGGCAGUGACAGCCGGAGUCGUAGGGAAACCGAGUCUGAAGAGGGCGGAUAAGUCUUACUGGUUAGACCCGAAGCCGGAUGAGCUAGCCAUGGGCAGGAUGAACCCUGCAGAGAUGCGGGGGGAGGUCCGAACGGGUAGGAGCUGCAAGUCCUUCCGAUGAACUGUGGUUAGGAGUGAAAAGCUCAUCGAAUUCGGUGAUAGCUGGUUCUCCCCGAAACCACUUUAGGGUGGGCCUGCUGGUAAAAACCGGAGGGGGUAGAGCACUGGUAAGGCUAGGGGUGUCGAGAGGCAUUACCAAACCUUGCUAAACUUCGAAUACCUCUGGGGAUCCAGUGGAGUCAGACUACGAGGGAUAAGCUUCGUGGUCGAGAGGGAAACAGCCCAGACUUCUAGCUAAGGUCUCUAAAUGAUGGCUAAGUGGAGAAGGAUGUGUACUUGCGAAGACAUCUAGGAGGUUUGCUCAGAAGCAGCAAUCCUUUAAAGAGUGCGUAAUAGCUCACUAGCCGAGCAGGUAUGCGCCGAAAAUGUAACGAGGCUUAAGUCAUCUACCGAAGCUGAAGGAUUCCGAUAUUGAAUCGGGAUUCAGUAGGGGAGUGUUCUAUAUGCGAUGAAGUCUCGACGUAAGUUGGGGUGGAGUGUAUAGAAGUAAAAAUGUUGGCAUGAGUAACGCCUGAGGGUUAAAAUCCCUCACGCCGGAAGCCUAAGGUUUCCUCAGCAACGUUCGACGACUGAGGGUUAGGCGGGACCUAAGGCUAAGCUGAAAGGUGAAGCUGAUGGAAAGCCGGUUAAUAUUCCGGCCCCUAAGCAACUAGGGAGGGCGUGACGCAUUGGGUUGUGUGUAUACUUCCUAUAAGGGAGUCUAACAAACGAGGCGACUCCGAUGAGUAGUCGGAGGGUAGGUAGCAGGGAAAACCACUACCUACAUAAAGCUGAGUUUGGAAAGGGAUCCUAACAAGAAGUUAGGAGAAUACAUAGAUCUGGUGCCAAGAAAAACGUCUACUGUUAAGGUUGCUUAGCCCGUACCGAGAACCGACACAGGUGGGCUGGUGUAGAACACCAAGGCGAGCGGGAAAACUAGGGAUAAGGAACUCGGCAAAUUAGCGGGUGUAACUUCGGGAUAAGCCCUGCCCGGCAAAAGUCGGGUCGCAGCGAAAGAAGCGGGGGGGACUGUUUAUCAAAAACACAGCUCUCUGCGAACUCCAAAAGAGGAGGUAUAGAGGGUGAUGCCUGUCCGGUGCCAGAAUGUUAAGCACUGUGGUGAAAGCUAUGGUGUGAAGCACUGGUGAACGACGGCCGUAACUAUGACGGUCCUAAGGUAGCGAAGUACCUUGUCGGGUAAGUUCCGACGCGCAUGAACGGCAUAACCACCUCCGCACUGUCUCAUCCCUAGUCCCGGUGAAAUUACAAUCUCGGUAAAAAUGCCGAGUGGGAACGGUUAGACGGAAAGACCCUGUGAAGCUUUACUGUAGGUUGGUAUUGGGUCGAGGUGUAUUAUGUGCAGGAUAGGUGGGAGGCUAUGAGAUUCCAACGCAAGUUGGGGUGGAGCCAUCGGUGAGAUACCACCCAUAAUACAUUUUGACUCUAAUCCCGAAGGAUCGGGAGACAGUGCCUGCUGGGCAGUUUGCCUGGGGCGGGAGCCUCCUAAAGAGUAACGGAGGCGUACAAAGGUUGGCUUGUCACGGAUGGAAACCGUGAUAAAAGUGUAUUCGCAAAAGCCAGCUUGACUGUGAGACUGACAGGUCGAACAGGGUGGAAACACGGUGAAAGUGAUCCGGAUUUUCCGAGUGGAAGGGGAUCCGCUCAACGGAUAAAAGCUACUCCGGGGAUAACAGGCUAAUGGGAUCCAAGAGUUCACAUCGACGAUCCCGUUUGGCACCUCGAUGUCGGCUCGUCGCAUCCUGGGGCUGUAGUAGGUUCCAAGGGUUGGGCUGUUCGCCCAUUAAAGCGGGACGCGAGCUGGGUUCAGAACGUCGUGAGACAGUUCGGCCCCUAUCUACCGUUUCCGUAUGCAACUUGAGGGGAUGUGCUCCUAGUACGAGAGGACCGGGGCGCACUGGCCGCUGGUGAACCAGUUGUUUUAUGAGAGCAUAGCUGGGUAGCUAAGCCGGGAAAGGAUAAGAGCUGAAAGCAUCUAAGCUCGAAGCCAACCCCAAGAUAAGGUUGCACAAUCGGUACCUUGGAGACUACAAGGUUAAUAGGCUGGUGGUGUAAGCAUGGUAACAUGUGUAGCUAACCAGUACUAACGAUACCGAAAGAGGCUUUA